rnacentral:sRNA from 1 species
UGAGGGUGGUCUGGCUCCAGCUUCACCCCACUGUUAGCCAAGGUUGAUUCAGCUGACCUGGGUGGCUAGGCAAGUGUUCCCAACAUUCCCCA